AAUAUAACCACCACCACAGGAACUGCCCUGCUCUAGGAUGUGUACCCCGAUUCAGAAUCGAGUUUUAGGUUCUCUUUCCAGGUCAAAUGAUAUCUUCUGAUAGAGUACCUUCCGGAUAAAUAUGCUUCGUCACAUCCCACAAUACAAGCUACGCUUUACAAGCUUCGACUCAGCUCCUGGUCUCUUUACUCGGAAUCCCCACACUUACUUAAAAGAAUCAUGUAAAACACUUCAGAAAACAACAUUCCCCCUAAAAAAGAGAGACUUAUUCAAGGGAGUGUGCUAUUUCUAAUGCAUGCCCUGUCUUAAAAAGUCCAACUCAACCUCAAUUCCCAAAAAGAGCUUCAGUGGUCUCCCAUUCGGCGACUUGGUAUUUGCUUAUUUUCUAAGUGUACUGAUUAAAUAAAAAGAAAUGCAAAUAAUAAAUGGCAAUUAAAUAACAAGCCUAAAAUAAAUUUUUAAAAAAAUACAUGGUCUGGUGGGUUUUAGACAAGACGCUAGAGAAAGGUGAGUUCACAUUCCCUUCUGUACCAGUUUCUACAAGAAGUGGGCAACACUGCCCUCUAGAGGACAUGUUACGUUAUGUCCGUUAGUUCGUUUGGUGCGAAAGUGACCCAAGAUGCGUUGAGCAAUAUACAUUCUUUUGCUCCUGAGAUACAGUCUGCCCUUGACCUUCUGUAAAUGACUCUGAAGACCACGAAAUCCCCCGAGAGGCCGUGAGACUUCACAAAGUCAUAUUGCAGGGGAUCAGAAAUAAACGUUUGUUGCAGUGGUUAUUAAACCGUCGUGUGCACCACAAUCAUCCACAGGGCUUGUUGAACGAGGGUUGCUAGACUCCACAUCCAGAGUCUCUGAUCCCAUAAAUCAGAGGUGGAAUCAACAACGUGCUUCCUGACAGGUUCCCCAGGUGACGCUGAUUCUGCAGGUCAGGGACCACACCGUGAGCUAGGAGCUUGGUGGGACUGAAUAGCUCAGCACAGGGUGAGCUGUUACUAUCUGUGCUACAGAAGCCUAGUCUCAGGGAGAUGAGGUGGCUGCUGUUAGUCACUUCAUCUUUCUCAGCCUCAGCGUCUUCAUGAAGGGGGAGAGACUUUGCAGGCUGUUUA